ensembl:lncRNA
CAUCUCCAAGCUUGACAUUCCUUCCCUUUGCUCCCCUAGCACUCGGUACCUACUUCCAAAACAAACUUACCACACUGGAUUGCAAUCCUUGAUUAUUGUUUAUCUUUUUCCCUAAAUUCCAGGAUCUUGUCAAAGGAACUAGGUUCUAUUUAUUUUUGUAUCCACAGGGUCCCAGUACUUAAGGAAUAUCUUUCAGAAGGAUGGAUGAAUAUGAAGAAACUAAGGAGCAAAGGAAUCAAGGAUUUCUUCCAGUCCACCUGGGAAGUUAGCUGUGUAGUUAAAACUCUAGACUCCAUGCCUGUUUUCCAAACCACAGAUAUGCUUGGUUUAUGCAGUGGUGUGACGUAAGCACCAUUAUGCACGUGCACAGCAGAGAUGAUCUGAAACAUCCAUCCCCUCUCCUCAAGCCUCCUCUGGAUAGAGGAAUCAGAUCUCAAAUGGUUAGCUCCUCAAGAAUGUCUUCCCUAACUUCCCGACCAGGACAAAUCUUCCUACACCUGGUGUCAUCAGACCAUGCUUCUUCAGGGCACAUACCACAUUGUAACUUUUUGUUGUUGUUGUUGUUCUCCUAAGGAAGUGUCACUUAAACCACAUUGUAUCUUUUACACAUAUUUGCAUGCUUAGAUUUCUCUCUAAAUAACCCACCAAGCUGAAAAAUGCAUGAGGCCCAGUCAUUACCUCCCUUUUCCCACCUCUGCAAUCCCAAGCUCAGCACAGAGCCUGGAAAGGAGAAGACACUCAAGCCCCCAAGCGCUUUAAAGCAGAAACAAGCAUUCCCCACUGUGUCUUGCCAGGAUUCUGGAUUCACAGAAAGUACAUGAAAUAAGAAAUAUUUAUUGUUUGAAGCCACCAACUUUUGGGGUAGUUAUACAGCAAUAAAUACACAGGGUAUUAUUUUCCUAUUCUUUGCAAAUGUGUCAAUUUUUUCAUUGAAUGACCAAUAUGAAUUUUAUAUUUUAG